ACGAACGCUGGCGGCGGGCUUCACCCAUGCAGGUCGAACGGAAAGGCCCUGCUUUUGUGGGGUGCUCGAGUGGCGAACGGGUGAGUAACACGUGAGUAACCUGCCCUUGACUUUGGGAUAACUUCAGGAAACUGGGGCUAAUACCGGAUAGGAGCUCCUGCUGCAUGGUGGGGGUUGGAAAGUUUCGGCGGUUGGGGAUGGACUCGCGGCUUAUCAGCUUGUUGGUGGGGUAGUGGCUUACCAAGGCUUUGACGGGUAGCCGGCCUGAGAGGGUGACCGGCCACAUUGGGACUGAGAUACGGCCCAGACUCCUACGGGAGGCAGCAGUGGGGAAUAUUGCACAAUGGGCGGAAGCCUGAUGCAGCAACGCCGCGUGCGGGAUGACGGCCUUCGGGUUGUAAACCGCUUUCGCCUGUGACGAAGCGUGAGUGACGGUAAUGGGUAAAGAAGCACCGGCUAACUACGUG
rnacentral:rRNA from 1 species